AAUCAAAUGGAAUAUCAUUAACAUACCCACAUUCUUAUAUUUUUCCGGAAUUAAUUGAAAUACAAAACAAAGUGAUCAUUAAUGUUUUGGCGGAACAUACCGUUUUGUUACAAAAUCUAACUCAAAAGGAGAAGGGAACUGUUGGAGCUAUUUCCAAAUUUCUUAUCAAAACACAUGAUGAUAUCGUGAAAUUAGAGGCGGAAAUAAAUGAUGAUAAUAGAGAUUGCUAUAUUUCAGCAGUGCAAUACUUGUUGCAAGGAGAGGUUGUAAAAAAUUUCGAAAAAGUUUUGGCGCGUAAAUUUUGCCUUGAAUACAACAUUAAUGGAAUUGGCAACAAAAAGAGCUUCUAGGAUUAUUCUAUGAAGCAAUUGGAAAAACAGCAGUAAAUGCGGAAGCGGAAAUGAGGAGGGCUUUUCAGGUCGUAAAAAAGAGGCAUUUCCGGCAGGUUUCUUCGAUCAAAAAUCAUACCUAAUAUAAAAACUGCUUUUUUUGCGUUACACAUACGUACCUCUCCCAAAAUAGAGUUAAGUUUUUAAUAAUAAUUUAAGUGUAAUAUAUGUAAAUAAAAUUUUUUUUAUAAAAAAUGA